AAUGAUGAGAUUGGAAUUAGGUAGAAAAGUAUAAUACUGACUAUUAGAGCUUUGAUGUGAUUUCUUGUUAUGAAUUGAAUCUUAUUCUGUUUGAAACUAGUAUAAUAAUGAUAGCACAGUAAAAACAACUUGUUGAUUGAUUGAGUUUAAAUUGAUACAUAAUGGGACUCUAAAGGAUAAUGCUAGUUUGAAUGAAAGAAUGACAAGAAUAAGUAGUGAUGACUAAAGUUAGACUAGAACCUAAGUUUGGGGGAAUAUAUGUGGGAUAUAUAAGCUUUAAAAAAAACAUGUUGAGUCUUGGGGUGGGUUGAGGAGAAACACUCCCCAUAAACACAAGCGUGAGAUGGAGCGUAAAACGCACUCACCAACCAUCUAUCAAAAGAAAAA
rnacentral:lncRNA from 1 species